rnacentral:rRNA from 1 species
UACGGAGGGUGCAAGCGUUAUCCGGAUUCACUGGGUUUAAAGGGUGCGUAGGAGGGCAGGUAAGUCAGUGGUGAAAUCUCCGAGCUUAACUUGGAAACUGCCAUUGAUACUAUUAAUCUUGAAUAUUGUGGAGGUCAGCGGAAUAUGUCAUGUAGCGGUGAAAUGCUUAGAGAUGACAUAGAACACCAAUUGCGAAGGCAGCUGGCUACACAUAUAUUGACACUGAGGCACGAAAGCGUGGGGAUCAAACAGG